CCCACGGACAGCCAAAUGCGCCCGUUCAUGCAUGGCGGUCUCUUUUUAUUUAUUGCAAACAUGGCAUCUUUUUUUGGUAGCAGUAGUACUGCUACUGCAGUAUACAACUGAUGUGAUCACGCGUUAGUCCUGCAAAGCACGAGGAUGUACCUUAGGUACCCACCACUAUUCUCUCAUAGAUCAGUGAAGGAAUCGAAUAUGGUGACGAUUACAAAGGGGUCUCGAGGAAGAAGAAGAAAAACAGGGAAGAACAUAUACACACUACAGUCGGCGCACGAUAAUCUGGUCACCUACUGCAGUCGCUACUUGUAUCGUUGCCCUCGUCCCUCGUGGCCUCGAACAUGUAUAAUCAUAGUUUUAAAUAGCCCGUUAUAGCCUCGUUAUAGCCUUUUCAGCAGGGUGCCGCUAAAUGAUAUCAUGUACAAAU
rnacentral:lncRNA from 1 species